ensembl:lncRNA
AGCUACGAGGUAAUCCUUUGGUACAAGAAGUCAAAGAACAGACAGCUACAGUUACUGGGAUACAUGUAUAGAGAAGGUGUGUUUCCUGAGAAGACUGGAGUGGAAGAGACUGUGAAGAUAGAAGGGAAUGCAAACAAAGACAAGAACUGCACAUUAACAAUUGAAGGACUCACACUGAACAGCAGUGCAGUUUACUUCUGUGCUGCUAGAUUACACAGUGCUACAUAUCACUGAUCCUCUGUACAAAACCCUCCCAAUCACAUGACACCACCCACCUCAAGCCUUCAAGUUGGUUUGCUGAUAGGAGGGUCUACUCACAGAGGAGGUUGGAGAUAAUCAGUAUAACUACUGAUAGACUGACAAUACCUUUCAUAUCAAUACAGUUAUUACCAAACACAAAGCCAACAUGAUCCUCAUAUUCAUAAGUAUUCAUUUGAACAAUUUUCUGGUUUCAGGUUUGUCUCUCAGUGACCAAGUCCACCAGACUCCAGCUGAUAUGUUCAAACAACCAGGAGAAGAAGCCACAAUCAACUGUUUUCACACCAUUCCAAACUAUGAUCGAAUCCUCUGGUACAAGCAGACAAACAGACAACUACAGUUUCUGGGAUACAUGUAUGGUAGUCCAAAUCCAGAGGAUGGAGCAGGUGUGAAGAUAGAAGGCAGUGCAGAGAAAGAUGAAAACUGCACAUUAACAAUUGAAGGACUCACACUGAGCAGCAGUGCAGUUUACUUCUGUGCUGCUAGAUAUGCACAGUGCUACAUAUCACUGAUCCUCUGUACAAAAACCUCCUCACCACACAUAAUUACAGCUUUCAGCCUCUCACACCUGGAAUAAGCCAGUGUAACCAAUGUUGGUCUUCCCUCUCAUCCAAAUCAGAUAUGAUGAAAGAAUGUUUCUUAUGUGCAGCUAUGCAAAACUUUACCUGACACAUCCAACCUCAAACAGUAGCAAUAGAAAGUAUACACCUAAUCAUUGUUUCUCCUUUUAUUGCUUUUAUACAUGGAACCCUGGUCAAUAAACAACAAAAAAAAAACUUGAUUAAGUCAAUGUAAAAUAUGUUUUGCACUUAUGAGUAGAAACGUACAUCAUUCUGUUGUUCUGUUCUGUUGAAGCCGCAUUGAUCUGGGGGGACGCUGCGCCUGGUACGUGGUGGUUGUUUUUCCUAAAUUAUAUUCUGUUGUUGAUUCUUUCCCUCUGUGUUGUCGUUGUGUUUUUUUUUUUAGGUCUCACUCCAUUGGUGACCCCCCCCCUCUGUGUCCAGGUUGCUCACAGUACAUCGAGAUAAGGAAACAGGAGAAACUGCCACUGCUGUUUUUUCUUGUUUUCAGCCGGCCAUUUUCAUUAUUUCAUUGUAGUUAGUUAUAUCAGGUUGUUGUGUUUAGUUUCUGUUUGUUUUUGUGGUGGCAUUUUCUUGCUGUUCGUGACGGCCUGUGAUGAGGAGCGGUGUGCAUUAGUUUCAGUUUUAUGCAUAUGCUUUGUCUUUUUAUGUAGGUGCUGGCAGCCGGCGGUGAGCGCGGUCGCACCGACGGUGGAGGGAUUCGGUGAUCAGAGUUCCUCACCUGUGCUUCACACCCCCGAUCGCGUGUUUGAUUAUUUUUCUUGCACGUCAACGACUAUUCUGUUCCAUUAUAAUUGUUUCCCCCACUGUCUGCGACCGCGGCCACGGGUCAGCAUUAUCCUCCACUUUCUUUUUUAUCAGUGUUUGCGUACAGUGUCAUCGUCAUCUCAUCACAGCUGGUCUUGUGCUUUAAUACAUGUG